rnacentral:tRNA from 1 species
GCCUCCGUGGUCCAGUGGUUUGGCCGUUGGGCUCUCGAUCCCGAGGUCCCGGGUUCAAAUCCCGGUGGGGACA